GCUUCAUGGUGUCGUCCGUGCCUUGGGGCUUUUCCGAUCCUACCCCAAUAAAUGCAGUUGCAUCAAUCUUGACAUACCUGCAUUUAGGAGACGGUCAUAGGUCUUGCCAAUGCCCCAAUGUUCAAAUUUUAAAAAGUGAAACUGUAUUAUUCGCCCGGCGCCUGCUCGCUGUCCCCCCAUAUCGCCCUGAAAGAGGCCGGUCUCCCGUUCGACCUGGUCAGGGUCGACUUGAAGGCGAAGAAACUA
rnacentral:misc_RNA from 1 species